AAUAAACUUUUUUGUUCAGCAAAGAUUUUUAAAACUCAUUAUAGACUAUAGAUUGAUAGAAAACUUUUUUCUAUAUCUUUAAUUUUUAGUUAUAAUAAUUAAAUUAUUGUGUUUAUAUACUGGUACAAGAAUCCGCCGGUGGCGGAGUUGUUAACACUUAAUUCAUCAUAGCGUAGCGUCACCCUUGCGUACACAUAUAAAAUAAUAUUUGUGCGACAAAACAAUAAUUUGCACCGAAUCAUAAUUUGGAUGACAAAAAUUAAAAAAAAUGUCAAAAGCAAUCAAAAAAAGCAGAGAGACGAAAAAUUACUCUCAAGACAACGUCAAUAAUGCAGUAGAUGCUGUCAAAAAAGAUAUGUCAUUACGUGUUGCAAGUAAAUAUUUGAUGUUUCCUGCUGCACAAUUUAUGUGAAAUCUGAAAAUAUUGUUCCUUUGAUGGCUCGAAAGAGCCCACAAACAUAUCUAACAAGAGAAGAAAAAAACAAUCUUGUAGAAUGGAUUUUUUAUCUAAGUGAACGAGGAUUUCCAGUAAAUAAAAAUCAACUUUUGGACAGUAUGAGAGAUGUAAUUGUUGAAUUGAAGAUAGAAACCCCUUUUGUAAACAACAGACCUGGUCGUCACUGGGACGAGACGUUUCUCCGGCGUCAUCCUCAGUUAACUUCAAAAGUAGCUCAAACGUUAACAUCAACUCGUAUUUCAGCAACAGAGGAGGUUUUACGCAAUUGGUUUAGAGAAGUCGACCAACACUUAAAAAAACUAGAUUUGCUAAGAAUCGAACCACCAAGAGUUUUUAAUUGCGAUGAAAGUGGAUUUCAACUUUGUCCAAAACCAGGUUGUGUUGUUGUAAGAAAAGGUUUCAAGUCUGUGUACAAAAUUGCUGAUGGUGAUGAAAAGAAGUACUUGACUUCAUUAUUUACAGUGAAUGCAGCGGGCUUAAUAGUCCCACCUAUGGUUGUGCAUUGGUACCAACGAUAUGGUGUAAGCAGUAAAAUGUCUGCAAGAUGGAACAUUGGCUUGACUGAAAAAGGAUACAUGGCUGCGGAGUCAUUCUUUGAAUAUAUUUCAAACAUCUUUUAUUCACGACUGAUAAAAAAUCAAAUUAAAUUUCCAGUCGUCCUUUACCUUGAUGGUUAUUCAUCGCACUUGACUUUGCUUCUGGUUCAGUUUUGUCGCAGUAACUAAAUUGAAUUAAUUGCAUUGUAUCCCAACGCACAUUCUCCAGCCGUUAGACGUAUCUGUUUUAUUAUUUAAAAAAUGCGUGGAAAGACUAUAUAAUUGGAGAUUAAAAAACGAAGGUUAAUGUUUGAAAAAAGAUUUUGCUCCAGUAUUGAAAAAAACAUUUUGAUUCUCUAAACAACUUAAAAAAUAUGAUUAAAAAUGAGUUCAAAACCUGUGGAUUCUUACCUUUUUCGGUGAAUACUGUUAAUUUCAAUAUGUUAAAUAAAAAUAAAAAGCCUGGUUGCACUGAAAGCGAGACCAAUGACGUGAAUUUGAAUUCUAGCAAUAAGAAACACGAGUAUAAUAAUCAUUUACAAAUAUUUGAAAACAAUAUUACUUCGGAGAUAUUAAGAUUUCAAAUCAGCGGAGCUCGCUAGACCAAUUCAAUACGAAGGAUUGUUUAUGUACUGGAUAAACAUCAAGCAACAAUGUGGUGUGAAUUGAAUCUUAUAUUAUUAUAACAAUAUGACUAAAUAUUUUAAUAUUUUUUCUUGAAAUAAAUUUAUUUAAAAAAUUUAGUAAACAUAGUUCAGUUUUAACUACGGAAAAUAGUAAUCUAACUUUAGAUUCUAUUCUAACACUUACUUUUGACGAAAGAAUGAUUGAGAGUGUAAAUGAUGAAUGUAAUGUUACUGUAAGUAUUACGGAAUGUGUAAGCAAAGAAAAUAGUUACGUUCCAGGUGAAAAUCAAGAACUAAAUCUGGAAAAUAAAGACAUUCUUAUCGUAAUAGUACAAGAUUUAAGUAUUAGUAUUGAAGUAUUAAAAUACGAAUAUUUUACAAGAUUCAGAUAUUAAAAUAGUAUAAUAUUAGAUAUGAAUGUUUUACAAGUCAAAUAUAUAUGGUAGCAAUGAUGACAAUAAUAACGUGCAAAAUCGGAUGACUAGAGGAUAUUUACUUUGUCUCCCAGAUAGCACAUGGAUGUCUAUUAGACGUCCAUCGAACGUUUCCUUGUGAACAUUGGAACGUCCGAUGGAUGUCCGAUUAAAGUUCGCUGGACGUUCAGUGGACGUACAUUCGAGGUAUGUUUGCAACUCCGUACGACGUCCAUAAAAUGUCCAUGCUGGACGUUCACUGAACGUUCGACGGAUCUUAAUUGGACGUCUAAUGGACGUCUAAUGGACGUUUUUAUUUCUAUCAACGGACGUCCACAGAAUGUCCGAAACAUGUUCCGUGUUUAAAAGUUGCAUUAAUUAUAAGUUUUAACACUCUUGGUUAUUAAAAAUAUUUAUAGACAUAAGUGAAUUUUAU